rnacentral:rRNA from 1 species
AUGGAAUCAGCUCUAUCACCCGGGCACUGCCAUGCGGCCUACUGGCGGAGGGCUCUCUACGUGCACCAACAUGAUUUUGUGAUCAGAAUAACCUUAUCAAACGAUAAGUACCAAGUGAUUAAGCUGCCAUUAGGCCUUCAUGUGGAAACUGAUGAACCGGAACAUUACCUAGGAAAGUCAGAAAAAGGGGUGUACUGUGCAUUACUCUACGGCAACAAUCGUCUUGGACUUCGGAUUUGGUUCCUCGACGAAACAUGCGGCCGGAUGGAGUGGCUCCUGAAACGUGACAUCAAACUUGGGAAUCUACUUGCAAAUUUUCCUUGGAAAUAUGGUGACAGGUCAUGGACUACGCAAUAUGUUAACGAUGAAGAUGGCAAGAGCAUGGCACCAACGGGACAAUUUGAAUCGGACUACUCUAACAAAGAUGAUAAUGGCAUCGCCACCGAAUAUACCGUUUCUUUACUUGGAUUUCAUCCUUACAGAGAGAUCAUCUUUUUCCGUACAUCCUUCGGAAGAGCAAUGGCUUAUCACUUCAAUAGCUCAGAGAUUGUAGACACGGGUUAUUUGCAAGGAAAGGGUCCUCAUGAUUGCGUAGGUGGAUCCUUUCCAUACACCCCGUGUCAGAUGGGGGAGCUGUCAAACAACAUGUAA